rnacentral:rRNA from 1 species
CCAGAGCCUGAAUCAGUAUGUGUGUUAGUGGAAGCGUCUGGAAAGGCGCGCGAUACAGGGUGACAGCCCCGUACACAAAAAUGCACAUAUUGUGAGCUCGAUGAGUAGGGCGGGACACGUGGUAUCCUGUCUGAAUAUGGGGGGACCAUCCUCCAAGGCUAAAUACUCCUGACUGACCGAUAGUGAACCAGUACCGUGAGGGAAAGGCGAAAAGAACCCCGGCGAGGGGAGUGAAAAAGAACCUGAAACCGUGUACGUACAAGCAGUGGGAGCACGCUUAGGCGUGUGACUGCGUACCUUUUGUAUAAUGGGUCAGCGACUUAUAUUCUGUAGCAAGGUUAACCGAAUAGGGGAGCCGAAGGGAAACCGAGUCUUAACUGGGCGUUAAGUUGCAGGGUAUAGACCCGAAACCCGGUGAUCUAGCCAUGGGCAGGUUGAAGGUUGGGUAACACUAACUGGAGGACCGAACCGACUAAUGUUGAAAAAUUAGCGGAUGACUUGUGGCUGGGGGUGAAAGGCCAAUCAAACCGGGAGAUAGCUGGUUCUCCCCGAAAGCUAUUUAGGUAGCGCCUCGUGAAUUCAUCUCCGGGGGUAGAGCACUGUUUCGGCAAGGGGGUCAUCCCGACUUACCAACCCGAUGCAAACUGCGAAUACCGGAGAAUGUUAUCACGGGAGACACACGGCGGGUGCUAACGUCCGUCGUGAAGAGGGAAACAACCCAGACCGCCAGCUAAGGUCCCAAAGUCAUGGUUAAGUGGGAAACGAUGUGGGAAGGCCCAGACAGCCAGGAUGUUGGCUUAGAAGCAGCCAUCAUUUAAAGAAAGCGUAAUAGCUCACUGGUCGAGUCGGCCUGCGCGGAAGAUGUAACGGGGCUAAACCAUGCACCGAAGCUGCGGCAGCGACGCUUAUGCGUUGUUGGGUAGGGGAGCGUUCUGUAAGCCUGUGAAGGUGUGCUGUGAGGCAUGCUGGAGGUAUCAGAAGUGCGAAUGCUGACAUAAGUAACGAUAAAGCGGGUGAAAAGCCCGCUCGCCGGAAGACCAAGGGUUCCUGUCCAACGUUAAUCGGGGCAGGGUGAGUCGACCCCUAAGGCGAGGCCGAAAGGCGUAGUCGAUGGGAAACAGGUUAAUAUUCCUGUACUUGGUGUUACUGCGAAGGGGGGACGGAGAAGGCUAUGUUGGCCGGGCGACGGUUGUCCCGGUUUAAGCGUGUAGGCUGGUUUUCCAGGCAAAUCCGGAAAAUCAAGGCUGAGGCGUGAUGACGAGGCACUACGGUGCUGAAGCAACAAAUGCCCUGCUUCCAGGAAAAGCCUCUAAGCAUCAGGUAA